rnacentral:rRNA from 1 species
GGUUUGAUCCUGGCUCAGAUUGAACGCUGGCGGGAUGCUUUACGUACAAGUCGAACGGCAGCACAAGUGGACUGCAGUCUGGUGGCGAGUGGCGAACGGGUGAGUAAUGUAUCCGGAACGUGCUAGUAGCGGAUAACUACGCGAAAGCGUAGCUAAUACCGCAGCCGCCCUUCGGGGGGAAAGCGGGGGACCUUCAGGGCCUCCUGCGCUCGUCGACGACCGAUGUCAGGUUACAGCUCGUUGGUGGGGUAACGGCUCACCAGGCGGCGUCCGUAGCUGGUUUGAAGAGACGACCAGCCACACUGGGACGAGACACGGCCCAAGACUCACGAGGCAGCGGUGAAGUGCACAUGGGCAAUGGGGGAAACCCUGAUCCAGCCAUCCCGCGUGUGCGAUGAAGAAUGCAUGCGGGUUGUAAAGCACUUUUGGCAGAAGAAACGGCACGGGAUAAUACCCGUGCAACUGACGUACUUGCGGGAAUAAGCACCGGCUAACUACGUGCCAGCAGCACUGACAUGCAUCAGGGUGGCGAUUAAUCCUUACUGGGCAAGCGUGCGCAGGCAGUUCAGAAGAAAGAUGUAACGAAAUCCCAGAGCUUAACUUUGGAACUGCAUUUUUCGCUACCAGGCUAGAGUGUGCCAGAAGAGGUGGAAUUCCGCGUGUAGCAGUAGAAAUGCGUAGAUAUGCGGAGAACACCGAUGGCGGCGGCCCUCGCGGGAUAACACUGACGCUCAUGCACGAAAAGCGUGGGGAGCAAACAGGAUUAGAUACCCUGGUAGGUCACCCCUCGGCGAUCUCCGUAGCGCUGCCGGGGCCUUCCGGGCAUGGUAGCGCAACCCGCGCGUGAAGUUGACCGCCUGGGAAACCACGGUCGCAAGAUUAAAACUCAAAGGUCGGCGGGGUUACACAAGCUUCAGUGGAUGAUGUGGAUUAAUUCGAUGCAACGCGAAAAACCUUACCCUACCCUUGACGUGUCUGAUCCAGAAGGUGCAGGUGCUCGCAAGAGAACCGGAACACAGGUGCUGCAUGGCUGUCGUCAGCUCGUGUCGUGAGAUGUUGGGUUAAGUCCGCAACGAGCGCAACCCUUAUAUUCAGGUUGCUACGAAAGGGCACUCUAAUGGAGCUGCCGGUGACAAACCGGAGGAAGGUGGGGAUGACGUCAAAUCCUCAUGGCCCUUAUGGGCGGACUCCGCACGUGUACAAUGGUCGCGGGACAGAGGGUCGCCAACCCGCGAGGGAAUGGCAGUGCAGAAACCCGAUCGUAGUCCGGAUCGCAGUCUGCAACUCGACUGCGUGAAGUCAGGUCAUUGUAAUCGCGGAUCAGCAUGUCGCAGUGGGCGUUCCCGGGUCUUGUACACACCGCCCAUCACCAUGGGAGUGGGUUUACCAGUAGUUAGCCUAACCGUAAGGAGGGCGAUUACCACGGUAGGAUUCGCAGCUGGGGUGAAGUCAUAUAAGGUAACUCUGUUACUACCCAAUUCUCUG